GGAAUUCAACCAGAAUGCCCUGCAGGCAGCAUCAUGUAAUUCUGACUUCACAAUGACAUGAAAUUUUAAAUGACAACUCUGCUAAAUCAGGGAGCAGCAAACCCUGGCCAAGUUUAAAUUUAGUAACACUGAAAAUAACUUUCUCCAUAGCAGAUUCUCUAUGAAUUACAGGUGACCGACCACUUCUUUUUCUGUUCUGUUUAGAGAUAAUCAGAUACUCACUGUCUUCAGCAUUGGUGUCUUCUAUUCUCAACGGCAUUUCUGGUGGCCACCCCAGGAGUCUCCCUGACCUGUUUUAAAACCCUUGGAAAUUAAGGAGAGAAUCCACUACAUAUAUUCCUUUGAAAGUUUCCACCAUAUAUGUUCAAAAAUUGCUGAAUGAGCACAAGGAUUUGAAGGUGCUAAAGCAAGGGAUAAACCAAAAGGACAGCCAGUAGGUGAGGAGAGGCCAUGGAAUACCCGCCAACAAGAUAAUCAUCGCUGGAAUAAUAGGGACCUGUCUGAAUGUAGACAGGAUCUGUUGUGUUUUUGUAUACCAGAACCCAAGAAGAG
rnacentral:lncRNA from 1 species